UACAGAGGGUGCAAGCGUUAAUCGGAUUUACUGGGCGUAAAGCGUGAGUAGGUGGCUCGCUAAGUCGAUUGUGAAAGCCCUGGGCUCAACCUGGGAAUUGCAGUCGAUACUGGAGAGCUCGAGUUCGGUAGAGGGUGACGGAAUUCCCGGUGUAGCGGUGAAAUGCGUAGAUAUCGGGAGGAACAUCGAUGGCGAAGGCAGCCCCCUGGGCUAACACUGACGCUCAUGCACGAAAGCGUGGGGAGCAAACAGG
rnacentral:rRNA from 1 species